rfam:Trichobilharzia regenti genome assembly, scaffold: TRE_scaffold0028408
GUACUGCUGAAGAGUCCCAAACUAGGUAGGACUAAACAGCUGUCCAGUAC